UAAAUAGGAAACGGGAGCGACCCGUGUAGUUUUGCACCCUGUCUGAACGGUGGGACGUGUUACAGCAAUGGAAAUUCAUCUUCGUGUUUCUGUCCAGACGGAUAUUAUGGAGAGCAUUGUGAAUACCAUCAUGGAAACGGAAGCGACCCGUGUAGUUUUGCACCCUGUCUGAACGGUGGGACGUGUUACAGCAAUGGAAAUUCAUCUUCGUGUAUCUGUCCAGACGGAUAUUAUGGAGAGCAUUGUGAAUACCAUCAGGGAAACGGAAGCGACCCGUGUAGUUUUGCACCCUGUCUGAACGGUGGGACGUGUUACAGCAAUGGAAAUUCAUCUUCGUGUUUCUGUCCAGACGGAUAUUAUGGAGAGCAUUGUGAAUACCAUCAUGGAAACGGGAGCGACCCGUGUAGUUUUGCACCCUGUCUGAACGGUGGGACGUGUUACAGCAAUGGAAAUUCAUCUUCGUGUUUCUGUCCAGGCGGAUAUUAUGGAGAGCAUUGUGAAUACCAUCAUGCUUGGAACUCAACAACUAUCCUAUAGUAUCUAUGCCUAUUAUGAAUUAUGAACGAUAACACAACUGUAGCCUAGAAGCACUAUGAGCAUUGAAAAAUGAGGAGAAAGACCAGACAAUAAGGAAUCAUCUAUUCUACUGUGACAUGAGAAACAUUUGCAGAAAAUUCUAUUUAAUCGAUUAAAUUUAUUUGAUAUCAUUUAAAUGAAAAAUCAAGUACAAACUAAUUCAGAGUACAUUAUUGGACAGGGCCACUAAAAAAAAAACAUGUGCUUGUAAAUGAAGCCUUUAUCAAGUUAACACAUUAUUAGAUACGUUUCAAUUAACAAGAAAACUCCACUCUGAAACAUGAAGAAAAUAAUUAUCUAGUGCAUAAUUAUUUUUCGUAUAUAAAGAUCUUGAAAUGGUAUAUAAACGGUUAUUAUAAUGGAUUUUUCUUGAGAAAAAAAAAUCGCACGAUAGGUAGAAAGGCCCUAUUAUUAAAAUUCAAAACGCCUUCCAAGAGAAAAAGAGAGAAGAAAAAAAAGAGGAGACAUUUGAGCACUAAUUUCAUCAACAUAAAAUAUCUAAGAAAUGAUUCAUAUCAAAGAUAUUUUUUAUCAUAUCAGUCACGGUAUUUGUAUACGUUAAUCCAACGCAAACCAUCCAUAAUGAGCAUUAUAGGAGAUAAAUGACGUCCAUACGUCUUUUAAAAACAACGCACCACUAGCUUCAUAUGUUUACAAUUACUGUGUGUAUUUCAGAAAAGCUUACUUUACUUUUGAUAUUGAAAAUGCCACUAUCUGAAAUUCAAAUUCCUAAAAACAAAAAUUGAAUUUUAAUUUUAAUUAUUUAUCUGUCGGAAGUUUCUGUAAUGUGUUAUGUUACCAUUAUUAUCAUUGUAAUAAAUCAAUAUUGGUCUUCCCUCAA